rnacentral:rRNA from 1 species
GAUGAACGCUGGCGGCGUGCCUAAUACAUGCAAGUCGAGCGCCCCUUUAAGAGGUGAGAAUCGAAAGAUUGUCUCUUCCUAUGGGGAGCGGCGGACGGCUGAGUAACACGUGGGAACCUGCCCCAAAGUGAGGGAUAACGCACCGAAAGGUGUGCUAAUACCGCAUAUGAUCUUCGGAUUAAAGCUUUAUGCGCUUUGGGGGGGCCUGCGUCCUAUUAGAUAGUUGGUGAGGUAAAGGCUCACCAAGUCAACGAUGGGUAGCUGGUCCGAGAGGAUGACCAGCCAGACUGGAACUGAGACACGGUCCAGACUCCUACGGGAGGCAGCAGUAAGGAAUCUUCCACAAUGGGCGAAAGCCUGAUGGAGCAACGCCGCGUGCAGGAUGAAGGCCCUCGGGUCGUAAACUGCUUUUAUGAGUGAAGAAUAUGACGGUAACUCAUGAAUAAGGGUCGGCUAACUACGUGCCAGCAGCCGCGGUCAUACGUAGGACCCAAGCGUUAUCCGGAGUGACUGGGCGUAAAGAGUUGCGUAGGUGGCUUGUAAAGCAAAUAGUGAAAUCUGGGGGCUCAACCUCACAGGCUAUUAUUUGAACUCACAAGCUCGAGAAUGAUAGAGGUAACUGGAAUUUCUGAAGUAGGGGUAAUAUCCGUAGAUAUCAGAAGGAACACCAAUGGCGUAGGCAGGUUACUGGAUCAUUUCUGACACUGAGGCACGAAAGCGUGGGGAGCGAACCGGAUUAGAUACCCGGGUAGUCCACGCCGUAAACGAUGGAUACUAGCUGUUGGAGGUAUCGACCCCUUCAGUAGCGAAGCUAACGCGUUAAGUAUCCCGCCUGUGGAGUACGGUCGCAAGACUAAAACAUAAAGGAAUUGACGGGGACCCGCACAAGCGGUGGAUCAUGUUCUUUAAUUCGAUGCUAAACGAAGAACCUUACCAGGGCUUGACAUCCCGAGAAUUUUGCCGAAAGGCGAGAGUGCUUUAUUGAACUCGGUGACAGAUGAUGCAUGGCCGUCGUCAGCUCGUGUCGUGAGAUGUUUGGUUAAGUCCAUCAACGAGCGCAACCCUUGUGAUUAGUUGUAUUUUUCUAAUCAUACUGCCCCGGAAACGGGGAGGAAGGAGGGGAUGAGGUCAGGUCAGUAUUUCUCUUACGUCCUGGGCUAGAAACGUGAUACAAUGGCUGGUACAAUGCGCCGCGAAGCCGCGAGGUGAAGCAAAUCGCACCAAAGCCAGUCCCAGUUCGGAUUGGAGGCUGAAACUCGCCUCCAUGAAGUCGGAAUCGCUAGUAAUCGCAGGUCAGCAAACUGCGGUGAAUACGUUCCCGGGUCU